AUGCCAUACCUAUGUUUCCCUAUCGCCCGUGAUAGGGUCCUCACUGCCAUCCAUCUGGUGGCUGAGCCAGCUCCAAAAUCCCACUUGAGAGAUCCUUGGACCACCCCCUGGUACCAUCUGUUGCAGCUCCUAAGGAUCGGGCUUCCAAUCGCCAGAGCCCCGGGGCUCAGCAUGGAGCAGAUUCGGGGGUCCUGGGUAUGGAACCCCAUCCCCACCAUGCCGAAGGCGGAGGAAGUGAGCCUUGACCACGCCAGAAUGUUCCGUCCCCGGGAGCAUGAGCACCUGUGCCAAGAGGAUGUUUCAGCCUGGAACCUUGGCCUUCUUUUUCCCUGCCCUUUGCCUCUGCUCAGCCAAGGCCAUGCCCAAGGCCAGGUCCAGGGCUCCGGCCACCACAGCAGUCUACCUGCCAAUCCUGCCUCCCACAUGGAGCAGACAGUCAGCCCUGUGACUGCCCCACCCCGCUCCCCUCUUGGCUACCGGCUGGGAGUCAGACACUCUAGGCCCAGCAAGUCCCACUUGUUUUGAAAAAAAUUUUAUUGAAAUACAGUUGAUUUGUGGUGUUGUGUUAGUUUCAGGUGUAGUGAUUCCAUUAUGCACACACGUGUGAGUGCUCACGUGGUUCAGGUGUGUCCGACUCUCUGCGACCCCGUGGACUGUAGCCUGCCAG
rnacentral:lncRNA from 1 species